rnacentral:rRNA from 1 species
CCUACGGGAGGCAGCAGUGAGGAAUAUUGGUCAAUGGGCGGAAGCCUGAACCAGCCAAGUAGCGUGCAGGAUGACGGCCCUACGGGUUGUAAACUGCUUUUAUACGGGAAUAACGCGCCUUACGUGUAGGGCUUUGCAUGUACCGCAUGAAUAAGGACCGGCCAAUUCCGUGCCAGCAACCGGGGUAAUACGGAAGGUCCGGGCGUUAUCCGGAUUUCUUGGGGUUAAAGGGAGCGUAGGCCGCAUGUUAAGCGUGCUGUGAAAUGGCCGGGCUCAACCCGGGCCGUGCAGCGCGAACUGGCUGGCUUGAGUGCGCGAGAAGCAGGCGGAAUUCGUCGUGUAGCGGUGAAAUGCUUAGAUAUGACGAAGAACCCCGAUUGCGAAGGCAGCUUGCUGGAGCGGAACUGACGCUGAUGCUCGAAAGCGCGGGUAUCGAACAGGAUUAGAUACCCUAGUAGUC